ACGGAAGGCAGCAGUGAGGAAUAUUGGUCAAUGGAGGCAACUCUGAACCAGCCAUCUCGCGUGAAGGAAUACGGCCCUACGGGUCUUAAACUUCUUUUAUAGGGGGAUAAAGUGAGGCAUGCAUGCCUUUUUGUAGGUACCCUAUGAAUAAGCAUCGGCUAACUCCGUGCCAGCAGCCGCGGUAAUACGGAGGAUGCGAGCGUUAUCCGGAUUUAUUGGGUUUAAAGGGAGCGUAGGCGGAAGGUCAAGUCAGCUGUGAAAUGUAGUCGCUCAACGUCUGCACUGCAGUUGAAACUGGCCUCCUUGAGUGCGUAAGAGGCAGGCGGAAUUCGUCGUGUAGCGGUGAAAUGCUUAGAUAUGACGAAGAACUCCGAUUGCGAAGGCAGCUUGCUGGGCCGCAACUGACGCUGAAGCUCGAAGGUGCGGGUAUCGAACAGGAUUAGAUACCCUGGUA
rnacentral:rRNA from 1 species